AUUCGAUCCAGCAAACUUUCGGUUACUGGCCCAACGCUCUAACCACUACCUGCCGCCCAGAACUCAGUUAGAUCUGUCUGAGCUUUGAUCAACGCUGGAAGAAAUAUUUAGAUGUUGAUCCGUAAUUGACUUUCUUUUGUGUACAAAAUAUAUAUUUGUCUUAUUAAUUUUUUCAAAUUAGAAAGGAUUACCGAGGUCUGGACUUCAAUGCCAUAUGCAGCCUAGUUACGGCCAUGAUGACAGCUUGCGCAUAUAGAUACAAGUUUGUCACUCCUGCAACACCUUUACGUUGGUGCGUAACGAAAGUAUACUGAAGCCAGUGACUAAGCAACAUUAAAAUCCUCUAUUGAGGGAAGAAUGGAAAGACGCAGGGUGUUGAAGUUAAGUCUUAAACCGUACGUAAACGCCCUGGACGAGAGCUAGCAUUUUUCCAAUCCCCACAUGACACAUUGAUUCAUUAUUUAUUUCCUCUGCAGGAUAAAGAAAGUAUAUUUGACGUGUCAAAAUAUAUUUACAAACCAGUCUGAGUGACAUUUCAGGGAGGACGAGAAGGUAGCCUAAUUGUCUAGCUAACAACUAAGCAGCUAUUUUGAACUAGGACUGGUCAUUCAUGUUGACAGUCAAUGCACCUCAAUUGCAAACACAUUUUAUUCACUAACAAUUUUCACAGCCAGUGGUGUCCUGAAAGGUUUCGAUCAUCUGUUGUACCUGGUGUUGGAUGGAACAAUUGAAUGCAUGUGUGUCUCAGAUGACCAAUUCAAGCUGACAGAGACAACUGGGCUUAGCAGUGUGCAGAGGGACCUCUGUGGUGCUCAUUUGCCCACAGGAUGGCUUGGAGACCAUUCCUAAAGCCCCUUCUUACAGCAGCAGGAGGGCUAGCUGGUAGCAGCAGCUCUGCCACCUCUCCUACAACAAACUAUCAGGGGCUGCAUCUCCAAUUCAUCUACACUGUACUGAAAUGACAGGAUCGGUGAAAGCUGUAUGACAGAUGACUACUGGAAAUGGUUGUUGCUAUUAUUUGAAUGCCGGUGACAUGGACCAAUGCACAUUUUGGGAGAUUCAGGGAGAUUUUGGUGGCCCCCUCAUGCGUUGUGAACCCUCUGGCCAGUGGUUUGUUGCCGGGGUGACCAGGUGGGGACAUGGCUGUGGAUGGACUGGUUUCCCAGGAGUCUACAUGCGGGUCACUGCCAUCAGGGAAUGGAUAUCUAACUAUCUGCCCUUUUGAGGCUAUGGAAAAAAGGAGGAAUUGAGACAUCAUACAAUACUUGAGGACACAAUGGGUUUUCUACUUUGCAGCCAUCACUGGUAUUUCUUGUGCGCUACUGGUCAAGGAUGAUGUAUGCACUCCACCAUCAACAUCAUGAAACUACCUGGAGAUAUCAGGAGAUCCAGGUGAACUUUUGGACUAGUAAAAUGGGGGUCUGUGGACAUUUUACUAAAAUAUGCAUAUAAACAUGUAGAAGUUGUGUAUUUAUUUUAUCGUAUUUGAGAAAGAUUUCUGUGGGUUCAAAAUGUUUAUUUAUUGACAUUUACAUUACUGUCAUUUUUCAUAUGUGGCCAACCAGCUUUUUAAUGUAAAUUCUGUGGGCCAACCAUCUAAAAGUUGGAAAAGAUACAUUUUUAUAGCAGAUGCUCAGGAACUGAGCCUUGCAUGAAAGCAUCUUUAUGUAGUGUAGCUAGAUCUACACUUCUGGAAGCAGUUCAGGUGCUACAAGAAAUAUGAACCAACGACACUGUUUCCUCCAGCAUGAGAGAAUAUAUAUGAAAUAUGAACCAACGACACUGUUUCCUCCAGCAUGAGAGAAUAUAUAUGAAAUAUGAACCAACGACACUGUUUCCUCCAGCAUGGGAGAAUGUAUAUGAAAUAUGAACCAACGACACUGUUUCCUCCAGCAUGGGAGAAUGUAUAUGAAAUAUGAACCAACGACACUGUUUCCUCCAGCAUGGGAGAAUGUAUAUGAAAUAUGAACCAACGACACUGUUUCCUCCAGCAUGGGAGAAUGUAUAUGAAAUAUGAACCAACGACACUGUUUCCUCCAGCAUGGGAGAAUGUAUAUGAAAUAUGAACCAACGACACUGUUUCCUCCAGCAUGGGAGAAUGUAUAUGAAAUAUGAACCAACGACACUGUUUCCUCCAGCAUGGGAGAAUGUAUAUGAAAUAUGAACCAACGACACUGUUUCCUCCAGCAUGGGAGAAUGUAUAUGAAAUAUGAACCAAUGACACUGUUUCCUCCAGCAUGGGAGAAUGUAUAUGAAAUAUGAACCAACGACACUGUUUCCUCCAGCAUGGGAGAAUGUAUAUGAAAUAUGAACCAACGACACUGUUUCCUCCAGCAUGGGAGAAUGUAUAUGAAAUAUGAACCAACGACACUGUUUCCUCCAGCAUGGGAGAAUGUAUAUGAAAUAUGAACCAACGACACUGUUUCCUCCAGCAUGGGAGAAUGUAUAUGAAAUAUGCAAGGAAUAAGUAUUAAAAAUAAGAAAAUAAAGAA